AAAACUGUUAUGUAUAAUUUUUUUUAUUAAUUUUUUUAAAAUAAUUUUCUACAUUCUUAUAUUAUAUUAAAAAAUAACAAAUAAAUUAUUUAUCCUAAAAUUUGAAUUUAUUCCUAGAUAUAGACUUUGAAAAAUAAAAAAUUCAUAACAUUUUUUUUAUUUUAUCAACACUUAUAUAAAAUGUAAAUUAAAAAUCUAAAUUAGAAAUCUAAAUACCAAAAAUUGAAUAUUAAAAGUGAAAAAAAGAAAAAAGAAAAAAAUUUAGGAAAUUUAGAAAUUAACCCCCCCCCCAAACUAGAAGCCCUAGUUUUGUUCGUCCUCUCCUCCCUGUCUCUCUCGACUCUCUCUCUCCCCUCUCG
rnacentral:lncRNA from 1 species